UCCUACGGGAGGCAGCAGUGGGGAAUAUUGCACAAUGGGCGAAAGCCUGAUGCAGCGACGCCGCGUGAGGGAUGACGGCCUUCGGGUUGUAAACCUCUUUCAGCAGGGACGAAGCGCAAGUGACUGUACCUGCAGAAGAAGCACCGGCUAACUACGUGCCAGCAGCCGCGGUAAUACGUAGGGUGCGAGCGUUGUCCGGAUUUAUUGGGCGUAAAGAGCUUGUAGGCGGCUCGUCACGUCGGGUGUGAAAACUCGCGGCUCAACCGCGAGCCUGCACCCGAUACGGGCGGGCUAGAGUUCGGCAGGGGAGACUGGAAUUCCUGGUGUAGCGGUGGAAUGCGCAGAUAUCAGGAGGAACACCGGUGGCGAAGGCGGGUCUCUGGGCCGAUACUGACGCUGAGAAGCGAAAGCGUGGGGAGCGAACAGGAUUAGAUACCCUGGUAGUCCACGCCGUAAACGUUGGGAACUAGGUGUGGGGUCCAUUCCACGGGCUCUGUGCCGCAGCUAACGCAUUAAGUUCCCCGCCUGGGGAGUACGGCCGCAAGGCUAAAACUCAAAGGAAUUGACGGGGGCCCGCACAAGCGGCGGAGCAUGUGGCUUAAUUCGAUGCAACGCGAAGAACCUUACCUGGGCUUGACAUGUUCGGAAAACCUGCAGAGAUGUGGGGUCCUUUUGGGCCGUUCACAGGUGGUGCAUGGUUGUCGUCAGCUCGUGUCGUGAGAUGUUGGGUUAAGUCCCGCAACGAGCGCAACCCUCGUUCCAUGUUGCCAGCGCGUUAUGGCGGGGACUCAUGGGAGACUGCCGGGGUCAACUCGGA
rnacentral:rRNA from 1 species